rnacentral:rRNA from 1 species
UGCGGCAGGCCUAACACAUGCAAGUCGAGCGGCAGCGGAAGUAGCUUGCUACUUUUGCCGGCGAGCGGCGGACGGGUGAGUAAUGCCUGGGAAAUUGCCCAGUCGAGGGGGAUAACAGUUGGAAACGACUGCUAAUACCGCAUACGGCCCUACGGGGGAAAGCAGGGGACCUUCGGGCCUUGCGCGAUUGGAUAUGCCCAGGUGGGAUUAGCUAGUUGGUGAGGUAAUGGCUCACCAAGGCGACGAUCCCUAGCUGGUCUGAGAGGAUGAUCAGCCACACUGGAACUGAGACACGGUCCAGACUCCUACGGGAGGCAGCAGUGGGGAAUAUUGCACAAUGGGGGAAACCCUGAUGCAGCCAUGCCGCGUGUGUGAAGAAGGCCUUCGGGUUGUAAAGCACUUUCAGCGAGGAGGAAAGGUCAGUAGCUAAUAUCUGCUGGCUGUGACGUUACUCGCAGAAGAAGCACCGGCUAACUCCGUG